ensembl:lncRNA
UCUAGGUUAGGUGAUGGGUUCUAGGUUAGGUGAUGUGUUCUAGGUUAUGUGAUGUGUUCUAGGUUAGGUGAUGUGUUCUAGGUUACGUGAUGUGUUCUAGGUUAGGUGAACAUGAUUCUACGUACAGUGUGAUGUGUUCUAGGUUACGUGAUGUGUUCUAGGUUAGGUGAUGUGUUCUAGGUUAGGUGAUGUGUUCUAGGUUAGGUGAUGUGUUCUAGGUUAGGUGAUGUGUUCUAGUGUCGGGGUCUUGUGGAAGGAGGGGGAUUGGAUUGUCCUAGAUGGAACAUUGUUCCUCCUCCUCAUCAUCCCUUGAAAACUAUCGUCCAUCUGCCCUUCGAGGUGGUUGAAAUCCCACUUGAUUAAAAUGGAUUGGGGGGUGGAUUGGAGGGGGG